GGUGCCAGCAGCCGCGGUAAUUCCAGCUCCAAUAGAUCCGUAUAUUAAAGUUGUUGCAGUUAAAUACGAACGUAGUUGAAUGUUCUGCCUUGUCAUUACUCUGGCUCAAUCCGAGCCGAGCUUGGCUUGGCAUCUUUCUGCAUUUGGUGCCUUCCGGUACUAUUUUCCCGGAUUCCCUUUGUAACACUCUAGAGUGUUUCAAACAGGCAUUCGCCUUGAAUACUACACAAGUGCCAUAUUGAAGUAGGACUUUGGUUCAUUUUUGUUGGUUAUUGAGCCAGAGCUAUGUUUAAUACUAGCAGAUGGGGGCUUUCGUAUUUUACUAUCGAAGGUGAAAUUCUUAAAUUUGGUUGCUAUUGGAGCU
rnacentral:rRNA from 1 species